GACUCGUCACACUAUCAUUAACUGAAUCCAUAGGUUAAUGAGGCGAACCGGGGGAACUGAAACAUCUAAGUACCCCGAGGAAAAGAAAUCAACCGAGAUUCCCCCAGUAGCGGCGAGCGAACGGGGAGGAGCCCAGAGCCUGAAUCAGCAUGUGUGUUAGUGGAAGCGUCUGGAAAGGCGCGCGAUACAGGGUGACAGCCCCGUACACAAAAGCGCAUGUGCUGUGAGCUCGAUGAGUAGGGCGGGACACGUGGUAUCCUGUCUGAAUAUGGGGGGACCAUCCUCCAAGGCUAAAUACUCCUGACUGACCGAUAGUGAACCAGUACCGUGAGGGAAAGGCGAAAAGAACCCCGGCGAGGGGAGUGAAAAAGAACCUGAAACCGUGUACGUACAAGCAGUGGGAGCACCCUUUGGGGUGUGACUGCGUACCUUUUGUAUAAUGGGUCAGCGACUUAUAUUCUGUAGCAAGGUUAACCGAAUAGGGGAGCCGGAGGGAAACCGAGUCUUAAUUGGGCGUUAAGUUGCAGGGUAUAGACCCGAAACCCGGUGAUCUAGCCAUGGGCAGGUUGAAGGUUGGGUAACACUAACUGGAGGACCGAACCGACUAAUGUUGAAAAAUUAGCGGAUGACCUGUGGCUGGGGGUGAAAGGCCAAUCAAACCGGGAGAUAGCUGGUUCUCCCCGAAAGCUAUUUAGGUAGCGCCUCGUGAAUUCAUCUCCGGGGGUAGAGCACUGUUUCGGCUAGGGGGCCAUCCCGGCUUACCAACCCGAUGCAAACUGCGAAUACCGGAGAAUGUUAUCACGGGAGACACACGGCGGGUGCUAACGUCCGUCGUGAAGAGGGAAACAACCCAGACCGCCAGCUAAGGUCCCAAAGUCAUGGUUAAGUGGGAAACGAUGUGGGAAGGCCCAGACAGCCAGGAUGUUGGCUUAGAAGCAGCCAUCAUUUAAAGAAAGCGUAAUAGCUCACUGGUCGAGUCGGCCUGCGCGGAAGAUGUAACGGGGCUAAACCAUGCACCGAAGCUGCGGCAGCGACACUAUGUGUUGUUGGGUAGGGGAGCGUUCUGUAAGCCUGUGAAGGUGGCCUGUGAGGGUUGCUGGAGGUAUCAGAAGUGCGAAUGCUGACAUAAGUAACGAUAAAGCGGGUGAAAAGCCCGCUCGCCGGAAGACCAAGGGUUCCUGUCCAACGUUAAUCGGGGCAGGGUGAGUCGACCCCUAAGGCGAGGCCGAAAGGCGUAGUCGAUGGGAAACGGGUUAAUAUUCCCGUACUUGGUGUUACUGCGAAGGGGGGACGGAGAAGGCUAUGUUGGCCGGGCGACGGUUGUCCCGGUUUAAGCGUGUAGGUGUGUGUUCCAGGUAAAUCCGGUU
rnacentral:rRNA from 1 species